UACGGAGGGGGCAAGCGUUAUUCGGAAUUAUUGGGCGUAAAGGGCGUGUAGGCGGCUAGAUGUGUCAAAGGUGAAAUCCCUCGGCUCAACUGAGGAACUGCCUUUGAAACUGUCUGGCUUGAGGCCGGGAGAGGGUAGCGGAAUUCCCAGUGUAGCGGUGAAAUGCGUAGAUAUUGGGAGGAACACCAGUGGCGAAGGCGGCUACCUGGACCGGUUCUGACGCUGAGGCGCGAAAGCGUGGGGAGCAAACAGG
rnacentral:rRNA from 1 species